ACUUAAUGACUGGUAAUUCCUUAAUUGAUUAAGAGUUGAAUCUUUUAGUUAAGUAUUAUGUUGUGUUUGCAUAUUGUUUGGGUAACCAAACAAAAGUAAUUAAUCCUUCUAUUUAAUUACUUAUUAACUUCCUGUAUAUUUACUACCUAAUUUUAGGUUAUUGGCACCGCGCUUAAACUCCAAAAAAGUGCGGUGUUU
rnacentral:other from 18 species